rnacentral:rRNA from 1 species
GACGAACGCUGGCGGCGUGCUUAACACAUGCAAGUCGAGCGGUAAGGCCCUUCGGGGUACACGAGCGGCGAACGGGUGAGUAACACGUGGGUGACCUGCCUCUAGCUCUGGGAUAAGCCUGGGAAACUGGGUCUAAUACCGGAUAUGACUCCACGGCGCAUGUUGUGGGGUGGAAAGCCUUGUGUGGCUAGAGAUGGGCCCGCGGCCUAUCAGCUUGUUGGUGGGGUGAUGGCCUACCAAGGCGACGACGGGUAGCCGGCCUGAGAGGGCGACCGGCCACACUGGGACUGAGACACGGCCCAGACUCCUACGGGAGGCAGCAGUGGGGAAUCUUGCGCAAUGGGCGAAAGCCUGACGCAGCGACGCCGCGUGAGGGAUGACGGCCUUAGGGUGUAAAGCUCUUUUGCCCGGGAAGAUAAUGACGGUACCGGGAGAAUAAGCCCCGGCUAACUUCGUGCCAGCCGCCGCCGUAAU